AUUGAACGCUGGCGGCAUGCCUUACACAUGCAAGUCGAACGGUAACGGGCCUUCGGGUGCCGACGAGUGGCGAACGGGUGAGUAAUGUAUCGGAACGUACCUUUCAGUGGGGGAUAACGUAGCGAAAGUUACGCUAAUACCGCAUAUUCUGUGAGCAGGAAAGCAGGGGAUCGCAAGACCUUGCGCUGAUUGAGCGGCCGAUAUCAGAUUAGCUAGUUGGUGAGGUAAAGGCUCACCAAGGCGACGAUCUGUAGCGGGUCUGAGAGGAUGAUCCGCCACACUGGAACUGAGACACGGUCCAGACUCCUACGGGAGGCAGCAGUGGGGAAUUUUGGACAAUGGGGGCAACCCUGAUCCAGCCAUGCCGCGUGAGUGAAGAAGGCCUCGGUUGU
rnacentral:rRNA from 1 species